rnacentral:rRNA from 1 species
AACGAACGCUGGCGGCAGGCUUCAUACAUGCAAGUCGAGCGGCAAGGCUCCUUCGGGAGCCCUAGAGCGGCGAACGGGUGAGUAACGGGUGGAUAAUCUGCCCCUCGGCGGGGGAUAACGGCUGGAAACGGCCGCUAAUACCGCAUGCGAUUGUGGGAGCUUUAGGCUUCUGCAAGGAAAGGCGCUGCAAGGCGUCGCCGGGGGAUGAGUCCGCCUCCCAUUAGCUAGUUGGCGGGAUAAUAGCCCACCAAGGCUGUGAUGGGUAGCCGAGCUGAGAGGUUGAUCGGCCACACUGGAACUGAGACACGGUCCAGACACCUACGGGUGGCUG